AAAUACCCAAACCUCAUCGGCCGUUGGAGCCAUUCCAAACACCAUCAUCUUCUAACCAGACAACCACUAUAACCUCCUCAUCAUAUAUCUAUCACUGAUUUCUCUAAAAUCUUUACCCAUUUGCUCCAAUUUCAGAUCUAAAACCCUGAGAGAAAACCAAAACCCUAAAUUGUCCUUUUCCUUUCGAUUUAACCAAAAGUUUAUGCUAAUCGAUUGUUCGCGUUAGUUUUGAUUUAUUUCAAGACCGCUGGAUUUCGACCAAGUCAGUAAUGACAGGCCAAGCGUCGUCAAAUAUCAUCGUUCAUGAUUUGCCUUGUUUGUUCAAGCAUUUCCGGC
rnacentral:lncRNA from 1 species